rnacentral:ncRNA from 1 species
CCUUUGGAGUGUACAAGAACUUGUUAGUAGAUUUAAUCGAAAGCAUACACGAUGAAUAAGGAA